GUCAGGAGGCAGCACGCAUAGAAGUUCAAUCAGUCCCAUCAAGAAACAGGUGGAAUAUGCCUGAAAGCUGCGUAUGUUGGAAAUCUCACAAACAUAGGAACAAGGGAGACAAUAUUUCCUUCCAUAAUAGGAAUCACAUUAUCUAACUCAGGUCCAGGAAAGAGUUACUACAUCACCAUACUACUGAACCACCUCGAGUCCUGGAUGGCAACCACCCAGGCAGACAACUGGUCCAUCCACACCUCUUGAGAGUAGCCAUCUAUCUGCUCCAGCCAGGUGCAACGGUGCCGUCCCCUUGGCCUCCUCCAUCCACUGAUGUCCUCAUCACUGAGGCACCUGCAUGCUGGAUGAUGCACAGAGAAACCAUACGGUCAAAAUGUCAUAGUUAAUGGUCCCUGACAAUGCAAGUAAUAUUCCUCAGUGUACUCCCAUUAAUGUAUCCUUAUUAUUAUGGAAUCUGUCUAUGGCAAUUUGACAACAUCGUUGCACUACAAGGGGAUUAAUUUGGAUCAUUUUUGUUUAGUAUUGUUUUGUGCCAAAAUCUGUUUUGGUACAGCUCAUUUAGUGUAAUUGGCCUUUACUUUUGGGGAUGUUAUUUCAGCAGAAAUGGCUCAAAAACAGAUUAUAAAGUUUUUAAAAUUUUAAAGAAGCCAGCACAAAACAGAUUGUGGAUAAGUGUGAUGUGUGUGUUUGUGUGUGUGUUCCUGUGCAAAUUCUUCCGAUGUACUUUGAGAACUAAAGCAGGUUGCAGAUAACAUAUGGCACACGGCUCCAGACUUUCAAGUAGAAGCAAAAGACAGGCUCCUAUUUUAAUCUUCUCACAGGCUACCUGCACUUCUCAGAACUCAUUUGUAAGCUCUCAUGGAGCCUGAGGUCAUCCUGGAGGCACCCUCGGGCAGUUCCAGACAGACCAGAGGUGAUGGUACAUUCCAAAGGCUUGAGAGUCUGGAAUAAUCUGCCUGAGGAGAUCAGCGUGAUAAACUGAUGUCAUGUUUAAACUUACAUAUGCAACGUAUGUGUUAGACGCCAAAGCAGUCACAAAGUGCAUGCAUGCAUGCAGUAUAUGUAUGUGCACACAUUUUAUAGCAUCUAUCAUGAAAGUCUUAUUGAAUACACAUCAUUUUAUUACUUCUGUGGACAAAUAAACAGAGACCUAACCAUUAGUUUAGCAUCUUUCCUCUUCAUUGCGAAGCUAAUCAUCUCUUAAAUGGUCAUUCUUUCAUAAUCAUUCAAAUGCAAAUCAGACGUUGAAUAUUUUUGAAUGAUCCCUUUAGAUCACUGGUUUUUCGGCACCAGUGUUUCCUUAAACCUCAGUUGGUGAAAUAGGUUACAUUUCACUGGCAUUGUAAAUGUCACCAUCUCUAGAAAUGAUAGAAGUCUGGAAAAUCAAUUUAGCGCUAUCAAUAGUCCCUUCUUUGUGUCCUCUCUACAGCUAUUCACAUUCACAGAGAAACAGCACCUUCCAACCUGUUCAGAGACCAUUAAA